rnacentral:rRNA from 1 species
UACGAAGGGGGCUAGCGUUGCUCGGAAUCACUGGGCGUAAAGCGCACGUAGGCGGAUUGCUAAGUCAGGGGUGAAAUCCUGGAGCUCAACUCCAGAACUGCCCUUGAUACUGGCGGUCUCGAGUCCGGGAGAGGUGAGUGGAACUGCGAGUGUAGAGGUGAAAUUCGUAGAUAUUCGCAAGAACACCGGUGGCGAAGGCGGCUCACUGGCCCGUAACUGACGCUCAUGCACGACAGCGUGGGGAUCAAACAGG